AUGCACUCAGUCACGGGCAUCAUCGUGGGUGUCUGCCUGGGCCUCCUCUCCCUCCUGGCCUGCAUGUGUGCUGGCCUGCGCCGCAGCCCCCACAGGGAAUCCCUCCCAGGCCUGUCCUCCACCGCCACCCCUGGGAAUCCCGCGCUGUACUCCAGAGCUCGGCUUGGUCCCCCCAGCCCCCCAGCUGCCCAUGAACUGGAGUCCCUUGUGCAUCCCCAUCCCCAGGACUGGUCCCCGCCACCCUCAGACGUGGAGGACAGGGCUGAAGUGCACAGCCUUAUGGGUGGCGGUAUUUCUGAAGGCCGGAGUCACUCCAAAAGAAAGGUAAGUCAGAGCCCCACAUUGCGGCUCAUUUCUAAAUAGGACACCAGGGGGCGACAGAGCACAACGCGUGGCUAUGCGAGCAUGGCUCUACCUCCUCUUCGGAGCCGGCUGCGGACGCCAGGGCCUCUCUCCCUCCUCCACGGAAUGGUUGGCUGGUCAGGGAAGCACAUGGGCCUCCAUACCCCGGCAGAAUAGAUCAGCUUGGUUCUCACGAAG
rnacentral:sRNA from 1 species